rnacentral:rRNA from 1 species
UACGGAGGGUGCAAGCGUUAUCCGGACUCACUGGGUUUAAAGGGUGCGUAGGAGGGUAGGUAAGUCAGUGGUGAAAUCUUCGAGCUUAACUCGGAAACUGCCGUUGAUACUAUCUAUCUUGAAUACCGUGGAGGUGAGCGGAAUAUGUCAUGUAGCGGUGAAAUGCUUAGAUAUGACAUAGAACACCAAUUGCGAAGGCAGCUCGCUACACGAAUAUUGACUCUGAGGCACGAAAGCGUGGGGAUCAAACAGG